rnacentral:rRNA from 1 species
CGCGCAGGCGGCCAGGUCAGUCGAAUGUGAAAGCCCCCCGGCUCAACUGGGGAGGGUCAUUCGAUACUGCCUGGCUUGAAGAUAGGAGAGGGAAGUGGAAUUUCAGGUGUAGUGGUGAAAUGCGUAGAUAUCUGAAGGAACACCAGUGGCGAAGGCGACUUUCUGGCCUAUUCUUGACGCUGAGGCGCGAAAGCUAGGGGAGCGAACG